rnacentral:rRNA from 1 species
UACCUGGUCUUGACAUCCACGGAACUUUCCAGAGAUGGAUUGGUGCCUUCGGGAACCGUGAACAGGUGCUGCAUGGCUGUCUUCAGCUCGUGUCAUGAGAUGUUGGGUUAAGUCCCGCAACGAGCGCAACCCUUGUCCUUAGUUGCCAGCACGUAAUGGUGGGAACUCUAAGGAGACCGCCGGUGACAAACCGGAGGAAGGGGGGGAUGACGUCAAGUCAUCCUGGCCCUUACGGCCAGGGCUACACACGUACUACAAUGGGAAGGACAGAGGGGUGCAAUCCCGCGAGGGUGAGCCAAUCCCAGAAACCUUCUCUCAGUCCGGAUUGGAGUCUGCAACUCGACUCCAUGAAGUCGGAAUCGCUAGUAAUCGCAGAUCAGCAUUGCUGCGGUGAAUACGUUCCCGGGCCUUGUACACACCGCCCGUCACACCAUGGGAGUUUGUUGCACCAGAAGCAGGUAGCUUAACCUUCGGGAGGGCGCUGCCACGGUGUGGCCGAUGACUGGGGUGAAAUCGUAACAG